CACAUGGAGUCUUGACUUCUUCAAGUUACAGGUUCAAAUUUCUAUAGGAAAACUGUAGGUCAUCUGCUGUGUCUGAGUGGGCACUUGUAGUCCAUUGCUGAGACAUGACCGUAUCCCUUGCCUUUUCCUUGGCAGAAACCACCCAACAAUGGCAAAAGUGCUGGUGGAUCCCUGCAUUUGACUGGAAGUUCUUAUUCAGCAGGGAUUGUGGGGCCUUCCUGAAGGUAAUGAAGAAAUGAAGCUUCACAGCCCCUGCAUAAUGUUGAGGAGAGUUCUCUCCAUUUUGUAGAUGGGUAAGUGAGACAAUAGAAUGGUUUCCAGAGUGCUUCAGGUCUGUGAUAUGAAGCCUAGGUCAGAUCUCUAAAUCUCUCCCAUGUUUCUUAAACAUGCAGCAGCUUUCCAGCCA
rnacentral:lncRNA from 1 species